AACGCGGGGGCCGCGCUCGCCCCGCCGGCCCCGGGAGGGACCCGCGGCCUUCGCGGCCCUUCCCGAGCGUGGCCCUCGCCCAGCUUGCGAAACGGGAUCGCUUCCCCUUUCCCGAGGGCGCCUUCCCCUUUUCUAAGAACGGCCCGGCCGCGGGGGAGCGGCGCUGCACGGCCCCGCUCCCACAGAGGGAUGUGCCCGCGGCGGGAGCGGCGCCGGCAUCCCCACGGCAGGGAGGGAGCGGGAACCGGAGACCUGGCAGGCAGAAGGACACAUCCUUUUGCAAAAACCAGCUGUGACUGGUACCACGCAGCAUCGGCCUCACACAGGAGCUGCGAGGGGAAACCAGGCAAAGGCAACCUGUGGGUUUGGCCACAUCAGCACCCCAAAACUUGGGCCUGGAGGUUGGACAGCACAGCCUCAAUGUCUGGAUUCAGCCUUCUCCAGGGAGCUUUGCUUCCCCUGUGGCACCCACUUGCUAGAGAGCCAAAUGGGCAGCACAGCAGGAAGCAGCACUAAACACAAGGGAACCCAGCAUAGAUUGGUUAUAAAACUCCCUGCCUUCAUUUUAUUGCCUUUGGUAAAGCUUGGUAAAUAUUUCUGGGACAGGCAACUCCUUGUCUGGCUUUAAUUACCUAGGCAAAUUUUCCUAAGGAUUAUAUUGACCUCAAA